rnacentral:rRNA from 1 species
AUUGAACGCUGGCGGCAUGCCUUACACAUGCAAGUCGAACGCGAAAGGGGGGCAACCCCCGAGUAGAGUGGCGGACGGGUGAGUAAUACAUCGGAACGUACCCAGUAGUGGGGGACAACCUCGAGAAAUCGAGGCUAAUACCGCAUACGGCCCACGGGUGAAAGCGGGGGACCGCAAGGCCUCGCGCUAUUGGAGCGGCCGAUGUCCGAUUAGCUAGUUGGGGGGGUAAGAGCCCACCAAGGCGACGAUCGGUAGCUGGUCUGAGAGGACGACCAGCGACACUGGGACUGAGAGACGGCCCAGCCUCCUACGGGAGGCAGCAGUGGGGAAUUUUGGACAAGGGGGGCAACCCUGAUCCAGCCAUGCCGCGUGCGGGAAGAAGGCCUUCGGGUUGUAAACCGCUUUCGGCCGGAACGAAAUCGCCGGGGAGAACAUCCUCGGUGGAUGACGGUACCGGAAGAAGAAGCACCGGCUAACUACGUGCCAGCAGCCGCGGUAACAC